rnacentral:rRNA from 1 species
GAUGAACGCUGGCGGCGUGCCUAAUACAUGCAAGUCGAGCGAACGGACGAGAAGCUUGCUUCUCUGAUGUUAGCGGCGGACGGGUGAGUAACACGUGGAUAACCUACCUAUAAGACUGGGAUAACUUCGGGAAACCGUAGCUAAUACCGGAUAAUAUUUUGAACCGCAUGGUUCAAAAGUGAAAGACGGUCUUGCCGUCACUUAUAGAUGGAUCCGCGCUGCAUUAGCUAGUUGGUAAGGUAACGGCUUACCAAGGCAACGAUGCAUAGCCGACCUGAGAGGGUGAUCGGCCACACUGGAACUGAGCCACGGUCAAGACUCCUACGGGAGGCAGCAGUAGGGAAUCUUCCGCAAUGGGCGAAAGCCUGACGGAGCAACGCCGCGUGAGUGAUGAAGGUCUUCGGAUCGUAAAACUCUGUUAUUAGGGAAGAACAUAUGUGUAAGUAACUAUGCACAUCUUGACGGUACCUAAUCAGAAAGCCACGGCUAACUACGUG